rnacentral:rRNA from 1 species
AUUGAACGCUGGCGGCAGGCUUAACACAUGCAAGUCGAGCGGGGAAAGGUAGCUUGCUACCUGACCUAGCGGCGGACGGGUGAGUAAUGCUUAGGAAUCUGCCUAUUAGUGGGGGACAACGUUCCGAAAGGAACGCUAAUACCGCAUACGGCCUACGGGGGAAAGCAGGGGACCUUCGGACCUUCAGCUAAUGGAUGAACCUACGUCGGAUUAGCUAGUUGGUGGGGUAAAGGCCUACCAAGGCGACGAUCUGUAGCGGGUCUGAGAGGAUGAUCCGCCACACUGGGACUGAGACACGGCCCAGACUCCUACGGGAGGCAGCAGUGGGGAAUGUUGGACAAUGGGCGCAAGCCUGACCCAGCCAUGCCGCGUGUGUGAAGAAGGCCUUUUGGUUGUAAAGCACUUUAAGCGAGGAGGAGGCUCCUUUAGUUAAUACCUAAAGUGAGUGGACGUUACUCGCAGAAUAAGCACCGGCUAACUCUGUGCCAGCCGCCGCCGUAAAAC